rnacentral:rRNA from 1 species
AACGUAGGAGACUAGCGUUAUCCGGAUUUACUGGGCGUAAAGCGUGUGCAGGCGGUUCGGCAAGUUGGAUGUGAAAUCUCCCGGCUCAACUGGGAGGGGUCGUUCAAUACUACCGAACUUGAGGGCAUCAGAGGAAGGUGGAAUUCCGGGUGUAGUGGUGAAAUGCGUAGAUAUCCGGAGGAACACCAGUGGCGAAGGCGGCCUUCUGGGAUGCUCCUGACGCUCAGACACGAAAGCUAGGGGAGCGAACGGGG